ACGCCCUCGUCUGUCGAUCCCUUACCGGCGGAGGAGAGGCAUUACCGGGGAGUGAGGCGGCGGCCCUGGGGGAAGUUCGCGGCGGAGAUACGCGACCCGGCCAAGAAAGGGGCCAGGGUAUGGCUGGGGACGUUCGACACCGCGGUGGACGCCGCUCUCGCCUACGACCGCGCCGCCUACCGGAUGCGCGGCUCCCGCGCUCUGCUCAAUUUCCCGUUACAGAUCGGGUCGGAGGAGACCUCAGAACCGAUGUCCCCAGCGGUGGCGGCGCCGUCGAAGCGGUCUGCGCCGGAGCCUGCUUCACCUUCUUCAUCACUAUCCUCCUCCUCCUCCUCCUCCUCCUCCUCUCGGUCUCCUUCAGAGAAGGCCUCGCCCAAGAGGAGGAAGAAAGAGACGGAGGCGGCCAUCACAUCGUCUUCUCUCCCGCCCUCGGUCUCCUUCACAGAAGGCUCGGUGUCGGAAUCAGUUCAGUCGCAGGCCGGUUCGCAAUUCGUGAACCGAACCGGAAUUCGCUCGGUUGGUCCGGUCGGACAACUGAGUAUCGUCUCCCAUGUCUUCGUGAGUUGAAAGAAGAAUGGCAGUAAGAAAGAUAGUGGAAGAAGCAGUACUGUUACUGUCUCGAAUAGGAAAAAAUGUAUGUAAGAGCGGAGGAUUUGUGUUUGUGUGCGGAG
rnacentral:lncRNA from 1 species